AUACGUAGGUGGCAAGCGUUGUCCGGAUUUAUUGGGCGUAAAGCGAGCGCAGGCGGUUCUUUAAGUCUGAUGUGAAAGCCCCCGGCUCAACCGGGGAGGGGCAUUGGAAACUGGAGGACUUGAGUGCAGAAGAGGAGAGUGGAAUUCCAUGUGUAGCGGUGAAAUGCGUAGAUAUAUGGAGGAACACCAGUGGCGAAGGCGGCUCGCUGGUCUGUAACUGACGCUGAGGCUCGGAAGCGUGGGGAGCAAACAGGAUUAGAUACCCUGGUAGUCCACGCCGUAAACGAUGAGUGCUAAGUGUUGGAGGGUUUCCGCCCUUCAGUGCUGCAGCUAACGCAUUAAGCACUCCGCCUGGGGAGUACGGCCGCAAGGCUGAAACUCAAAGGAAUUGACGGGG
rnacentral:rRNA from 1 species